rnacentral:rRNA from 1 species
GGCAAUGACGGGUAGCUGGACUGAGAGGUCGGUCAGCCACAACUGCACUGAGAUACGGGCAGUACACCUACGGGUGGCAGCAACUAGGAAUAUUUGGCAAUGGACGAAAGUCUGACCAAGCGACGCCGCGUGGAGGAUGAAGGCCUAUGGGUUGUAAACUCCUUUUGUCCCGCCAUUCACGGCGGGAAGAAUAAGCCCUUACUAACUACGUGCCAGAAGUCUCGGUAAUACGUAGGGGGCAAGCGUUAUCCGGAUUCAUUGGGCGUAAAGUGUGCGUAGGCUCCUUAAAAAGUCGCAUCUUAAAUACUAAAGCUUAACUUUAGGCAUGGAUGCGAUACUGUUAGGGUUGAGGAUUGGCAGGGAUGCUGGAACGGCUAGAGUAGCAGUGAAAUGCGUUGAUAUUAGCUGGAACACCAAAGGCGAAGGCAAGCAUCUGGGCUUUUCUCUGACGCUGAGGCACGAAAGCUAAGGUAGCGAAACAGAUUAGAUACCUG